rnacentral:tRNA from 1 species
UCUCUCUUGGCUCAGAUGGUAAAGAAUCUGCCUGCAAUGCAGGAGACCUAGGUUCAAUCCCUGGAUCAGGAA